UCAGUGGUUGAGUGAAUGAAUGGAUGAACAGGCUCUUGCACACAAAGAAGAGACAUGAUGUAUUUGCAUCCUUCCCUGCUUCAGCCAGUUUUCUGAAGCUCAGAGGGACACCUUGUAUUGCUGGAUGAUAAAAACAGGAGCAAAGUGAUGAAGUGCUGACAAGGCAACAAUAGAACAUGAGAGAUUCACUGCUGUGUAGGAAGAGAUCUUCGGUGACCAUGUAGCCUGAAGCUCUCAUUUUGUCAUCGAGGGACACCAAAACUCAGAACAGUGCUAAGCUCCUACAUCCUGUUCUGGAAGGACAAUCCUGAGCACACGAUGAGCCAUAUAAACUUCAGACUGACGCUGAGUGAAAGAAUGCUGGAAAAGCAUCACAGGCCAGGGCAGCAAAGUCUUCAAGGUCAUCCGUGCUCUGAUGAUGUCACGCUUCUUCCCUGUCUGGAAGACAUUUCCCCAAGAGCAUACCACCAACAUCAGGGAAAUGGAAUCCAACUGGUCGCUGCAAAGUUUGCUGAGCACACAGUGAUAAAGAUGGCAAGAAGGUCCUGAGAGAAACGCAAUAUUUUUGUGCAGAAUGGGAUGUUCUGCCUUUGUCCCAUGCUUUGAAAUUUACCACAUGAAAAAUAAAAUUAAAUACUGAUCAUCA
rnacentral:lncRNA from 10 species